ACUUAGCGAAGAUGCAUACGUUUUCGAACAAAAUAGAUGAAAACAACUCAGAGAGUUCCAAAAACCAGUGUUGAUUGUUUGGAUGCGAUGGUCGGAGACCAGUUACGGAAUAAUCACAGUAAUCAAGCAAUCUCUACGGAAGCCAUCAUUCACAACUAUAAAUCAGCUCAAAUUAGACAGAGUGUGCUGGUGGGUGAGCGUGCCAGGUGGGAUAGCACGUAGUUCCUCCCGCUGAGUGCAGUCAAAUGGCCCGGCGGCUCUAAUUUUUUUUUGUGGUGAAAAUAAAACCAACCAGAUAAAA